rnacentral:rRNA from 1 species
UUUUGGCCAAUGGGCGAAAGUCUGAUCCAGCAAUGCCGCGUGCAGGACGAAGGCCUUCGGGUUGUAAACUGCUUUUGUACGGAACGAAAAAGUCUUUUUUAAUAAAGAGGGCUUAUGACGGUACCGUAAGAAUAAGCACCGGCUAACUACGUGCCAGCAGCCGCGGUAAUACGUAGGGUGCGAGCGUUAAUCGGAAUUACUGGGCGUAAAGCGUCCGCAGGCGGUUCUAUAAGACAGAUGUGAAAUCCCUGGGCUCAACCUAGGAACUGCAUUUGUGACUGUAGAGCUAGAGUACGGCAGAGGGGGAUGGAAUUCCGCGUGUAGCAGUGAAAUGCGUAGAUAUGCGGAGGAACACCGAUGGCGAAGGCAAUCCCCUGGGCCUGUACUGACGCUCAGGACGAAA